ACCCUCUGGAUGCCAUUUGGGCAUAUAUGUCCCUACACAAAACGCAGGUGCUGUGCCAGAGGGACAUAUAUGUCCUUCUGAAACAUCAUGUUAAAAGAAUUGAAAUAAAAUAUUUUUUGAUUACCCCAAGCCCAUAGCAAUUGCAACAUCGCAAAAAGCAGUAAAUUUCCAACACAUCUGUUUCAUUUUCACAACUCUACUGUCAAUAAAUAACGCAUAUGGAGUUAGUCAAAUUCCCCUUGUUUACACUUUCGUUCAAAUUUGCCGCCAUUGAAAUAAUUUUUCAUUUCGAACAAUUUGCACCGACUGAUUGAAAAUCCACAUGCGAAGGAAUGUUUGAAACCUUCAUAAAUAUUUUGGUUAAAAGAUUGAAAAUGGUCAAAUAUCUACGCAUAUAUGUAUUAAUUAGCUAAUGAAACCAACUAAAUGUCCAGUUUAUCGAUGGUGAAUGGAGUGUAUAUUUUUUUUACAGUAUUUGUUCAAGGCCUCGUUCAUCACAUUCAUAUCAAAGCGUAUUCAAAAACAUUCAUACAGUUAUACAUACCUACUGACAUCUGUAAAAAACAGUCUGUGUGAAAAUGUGCCACUUCUCAUAUUCAUGCGUAUACUUAGAAAUUCCAUUCAUGCUUUCUAAACCUCAAAUUCUGCAAAAACACAGAAAAGGUACCGCAACUUUUUAGCCGAAACUUAAACAAAAUGGCGACCGAAGUUGAAGGUCGCUUAGCGGUACUUUUCAUGAGAGAAAAAAAGUCGAAAGCAUGUCUCCCAGAAGAAACGAAAACGCACAUGGUAAACGUUGACACACCCUUUUGGGUCUGUGUUGUUCAUGUUUUGUGACUGAUUAUAUGUAAGUCACGUUUUCGUAUGUUUAAUGAGGCGUGCCAAUUUAUUGAAAGACGUUGAAAAGUAGGUUGGUAGCAACGGCAUAUAGGAUAUUAUGCAGUGUCGAAUAUAUUUAUAAUUUAUUGGUUAUAUAAGUAUAUAAACAAGAACUAUAUGAUGUUGAAGUUUGAACGUGUAAAUGUCAGUUAAAAUUACUUGAAUACCGGUCCCCGAUGAAGCUAUUUAUUGCCUCGGUCUGAACGAGUUCGUAUGUCUAAAUAUAAAUAGCUAGCUCUUUGACAGUAGAAUUCAUUACUAAAUUAUUAAAGAUCUAUCGUUUAAUUUCAGUUUGUAAAUUUUGUAUUCAUACGGUUUGUUAUUGAUAAAUACCUUAUUAUUAUUAUUGCAAGACUAUUUUUUUUUUAUUUCACGAAUACAAAUGAAGCUGUUACGGUUAUCGACAGUUUGGUUUCAAUCAUCCACCAUAACGGGUUUGGCAAGAGCGGCAAAUUUCCGAUUGUUCGUCUGGAACGAAAUACCGUGACCCGCGAUCUUUGACAUGCCACGUCACAGAGGUUACAGGUGCCCGAUUAAAACAAAACAAAGUUCGAUGUUGAAAUCACCAACAGUGUUAAUUAAAUAUGACAUCCAAUGUAAAUAUUUAUACAUUAUAUGCUUUAAUCUUUAUCUUCGUGCUUUGUUUAUCGAAUCAGCGCGAUGAACACAAAUCAAAUAUAUAAAAACGUUCGCCUCCCGCCGAGAGCAUGAAUAUUCAUAGGGAUAAAAAUAGCCCCAUGUGACAGACGACAACAUUGCGAUCGAAGCUGUCCACCAAAAAAGAAUCAUGUCAGCGGUGGGAGUUGGCGACGACGAUGAUUUGGGGGAGUCGGACUUCGAGUCGGACAUAUCCGUCGAUUCUCUAGAUUCCGACUCCCAGGAAGAGAUAAGCGGUAAGUAACAUUAAUUCAUUUUCAGUAAAUUGAGUAGGUGUACUGUCAGUGUCAAAGCAAUGGCGGGAAUAAGAAUUUGUUAUGUUUUUGCAAUUUUCGAAAUUGUAGGCUAGAUCUAGAUCUACUCGUGAUAGUUGUGAUGUUUCAAAUGUUAAAAAUAUCUACCAUACCAUGAUAGUCAUAGUAGAAACAGCAAACUACCUUGUUGAGUAUUUCAUGAAAUAUGAAACUUAGAAUUGAUUUGAAAGAAAGGCUCUCAUGGUAGUGAAGUUUUAACAUGUCUACAUGUGGCCUACACAUGCUUUUGGUAAAGCUCAGUAAUAUUAAUGGAAAAAUGUCUUUGUUAAAAAUUAAAAUUAUCUUGAAGGACACACUAGUUCACACUUUGGACAUGAAGCCAUAUUUUAAAUGAGUAUAAUGAGUCAUUCCUAAAAAAUCUAAAAUGUCUAACUUAUUUUGAAAUUUUAAAAAUAAAUGAAUAUGUUUCAUAAUUCUAAAUGUUAAAUGUUAUAAAUAUAUCUAAAUGAUGUAGAUUAACAUUUACUAUAACUUACUAAGGGGAAAGGGGUGCUGCAUUGCACCAAGUGACUGUUGUCCUUGCGCCAAUGGGUUUGGGGGUCAGUGCACUGAACAAAUGUUCCCUCACCGGGCAGGCAGCCCGGAGACGCGGAAGCUAUGGCCAAUUUUUUGUUGAAAAUUUAGCAUCAUUGUAAAGCUUUUGAUUUUAAUUCUCACCCUGGAAAUGUUUGCAUCAUGAGUACACAAUUGUUUCCCUGUGACUACUCAAGGAAGCCCUUCAGUUUUCAUUAAUACAUUCAUGUGGAGCACAUAUAUCCUAAUCUUAUCUUUAUAUAGUAGUAAUGAAGAAUAAGUCUUUCAACAUGUUUAAUCUGUACCCAACUAAAAAGGUCACAGGUUAUACAUAUUAAUUACAAGCAAAAUAUUAGUCUUGACGAAAAUAAAGUUGCCACAUGAAUAUUGAUACUGUGUUGUAAAAUAUUCACUAGAUCUACAGGGUCUGAAACAGUUCCUUCAAUAAACUAAAUAUAUGUCUAUAGGUCUAUAUGUAUAUAUAUAUAUAUAUAUAUAUAUAUGAUAUAUUUUAUCUUUAUUAAAAUUUAAGAUUGAUAACAAACAUAAAAUACAUUGGAGAAAUGACAAACUUCCAUGAAGCAAUUUGCAAAAAGUAUGUAUCCAAGGGAGUUAUUAUAGGACAUAAACAAAUCACAUUAUCUCCCCUUGAUCACUAAUAAAACAUGAGUCAGCAGUUGCUUAGUUCCAAUUAUGAUAAGAAACAUCCAUGAAAAUUUGCAAAUUCAGCGAUAGAAACUAACAUUUUAGUCCACUAGUCCAUAUAUUAUAAUGAUGAGUAUAACAAAACCCUAUAAAAUUGGCAAAUGUCUACUAGUCCUUAUGAUACCUUAACUAUUAGACUGUUUUGCAAAUAUAUAAUCAGGAAAAUGACAUGGAAAUUAAUACCAGCUCACUUAUCCGUAGACAAAUUUCCAAAUCUUCCCAUUGUUUUAACAGUACAAUGGAAUUUUACCCUGUCUUGUAAAGUAUUUUAGUCCCAACCCUUCAUUUUGAUUUCGGUGUUAAGCAUCACAUAAAAAAAUACUAAAGAGGCAAACAAAUAAACAAAGCUAACCAUGUCCUCACUAUUGUGAUUGCAUUAAUUUAUCUGCAACCUCUUAAUUCUUAUGCUUUAAUUUUCAACCAUGUCAUUAUUCAAAAUUAUUUGAAAAGCUUUUAAAUUUCAUGAUAUUUGAAUUUUGAUAAUACAGUUAUACUCUGUCCAGGAUAUGGUCUGUGAAGUGGAAUGAUUCAUACAUGCUUUUUCCAUGCUCCUUUGUUAUUUGAAUGCAUGGACACACUACACAUAUCUAUCUUUUAACAAGGAAUCCUUUCCCUUAGCACUUUUAUAUGUGAUUGAAAAGGACAUUAUUAAUAAGAAGCAUUAUUUCAAAUUUCAGAUCACGAGGAAAAUAACCCGGAAGAGAGGGAAGAAGAGGCAGGUGCCAAACCAAUGGUCUGUGGCCCCUGGCUGCCUGUGCUGGACACGGACAGCUUUGACCUCGGCAACAGCAUUGACUUUGCCGAGGAGUGCGGCCAUGUCAACCCUCCAGAUUACCAUGCCCCUCCCAUAUGCUAUUUUGACCAGCAACUCAGAGGAGGGGAUUGAGGUGUUGAUUUGUUCGACCUGCUGGUCAGGGAGACAAACAGGUAUGCUGAGCAGUACCUGCAGGGCCGCACUCUAUCACCACAGAGCAGGGCUCGGGCGUGGAGACCCGUAGACCGGGUAGAAAUGCAGGCAUUUCUUGGACUCUUGUUGGCCAUGGGUGUCGUCAAGAAGCCAACCAUCGCUUCCUACUUGAAUGAGGGGGACAAGAACUGGCUGGCGUCAACACCUUCCUUCUGGGGGAUCAUGCCGAGGAAUCGCUUCUUAGUAAUCAUGCGGUUCCUCCACUGCAACGACAACUCUGUUGCAGUGCCCCGAGGGCAGCCAGAUCACGACCCCCUCCACAAGAUCAGGCCGGUUCUUGAUCUUGUGAAUGGAUCAUUCGCAAACUCUCAUGGGUAUGUUACCUUUUUACUUUCUCCAUUCUGAUAUAUCAUAUGAAAAGUAUUUGAACACCAUUCAUUAUGGCACUUAUUUCAUGUUGUACUGAUGGGAGGUUCUAAUGAAUUAAACAUGGUAAAUAACAAUAUGAAAAUUACAUAUACCAAAAAUUACAGAUUUGUUACAUGUACAUUUGUAAAACGAUUUUUUAUUUUAAACUUCUUAAGUAAAAAAUAAGCUAUAAGGAUCUAUACCAAAACGUCGCAUAUUCAAAACGUUUGCUGAGCUAUAAACUACUGGUAAUCACGUUAAUGCUUUAUAAUAUUUACAUAGACAGUUAGGGAAAGGGUUGUACUGUUAUAGUGUGAAAUUUGACAAUUGUGGGUUUUACCGUUGUUACGUAACGUCGUUUUUAGACGAAGAUGUACCAGAAAACAUACAUAUUAAUUCCAAUUGUUGCCACCGCUUUAUCCUUUAAUAUAAAUAUAAUAUUCGGUGUCAUUGAGCCUACAACGUUACUUUAAAAAUACCAUUUGUCCAAAUGUAGUAUAUCCUCAAGUCAAAAUCAUAAUAAGUAAUAUCCCUCACAGAUGAACAGUGUACAAAGUAUCUCAACGAUUACACUUACCGUAUUCGACGUAAUAAACGCCCAGGGCGCUCUCAAAAUUAGAAAUAGGGGGCUCUUAUUGGAAUAUUAU